rnacentral:rRNA from 1 species
ACGCUCGACACCUACGGGGGGCAGCAGUGGGGAAUAUUGCACAAUGGGGGAAACCCUGAUGCAGCGACGCCGCGUGAGCGAAGAAGUAUUUCGGUAUGUAAAGCUCUAUCAGCAGGGAAGAAACUGACGGUACCUGACUAAGAAGCACCGGCUAAAUACGUGCCAGCAGCAGCGGUAAUCUGAGCGGGCUGGCAAGGC